rnacentral:rRNA from 1 species
GAGAACGGAGCCAGCUGCGAGACUUGGUGUGAAUCGCAGGACACAUUGAGCACUGAUUUUUMGAACGCGCAUUGCGGCCUCGGGUCCUGCCCGGGGCCUCGCCUGUCUGAGGGUC